ACGGGCCAGUGUUCCCACCAAGGGAAUGGCUGAAGGAAGAAAGUGAGACCUACAUGCGCGUGCAUGAUAUACUGAUGGCUCCUACACUUCUGAAAGACAUUCCGAUGCUGUCAUCUACAAAUCAGACAUUUGGCCUGGAAGCAUUUCAUAGCGUUCUCCUUCAUUUUCUGCCAAAAACACAUGGCUUCUCAGAUGCUGGAAUGCGUGCGAGAACACAACUAGCAAUCUUGCAUUAUAACGAAAAUGCGGACCGCGUCCAG